AUAAGUACUUCACAUUAUAUACACAAUUCAAAAUUUAUCUUCUCUUGCCUUUCUUUAUGCCUCAUUAAUCAAAAGUUACAGAUUUAAAUAAAAUCAACACUUUUACAACAUGGUACGUCCAUUAGCAACUGAUAGGUACAACAUAUCCAACUUCUGUCAGUUGGGUGCCUGUUCUAAGCUUACUUCCAUUCAGACUCAGAGAAUUAUCUAUUCAGUGUCACUGUGACUCAAUGUCUCCAUCACAAACACAGAAAAAAAAGUUUAUGAAAGUUUUAAUAUCAAUAAAAAUUAUGACUUGGUAAGAACUAAAGAAACUUAGUCUUAACAAUGGAUAUUAAUUACCUUCUGAAGACAAACAGACAAUAGGUCUCAAAACACAACAUACUCCAAAAGGUGAUGGUACUGGUAUUACUUGCUUUCCCAGUCAAGUUUCGUGACAAUUACCAUACCUCCCUUCCGUUACUCUGGAGGAGCCCUGGGGAAGUUGAGGAAGGCACUGACUUGCAACUGGAAGAUGCAAAGGAAGUCGCAGGGUGAUUCACAAACACUCCUCCUCUCUCUUUCCCCUUUCCAUAGCAGUCACAGAGAACCUGACAAGGAAAGACAACGUGCGUUUAUAAAACCACCUCUCCACCACUUUGUCAAAGAGCCACUGUGUUCACCCCUCUCAGAGCCAGUCUCAUCACCUACCACACAUGCAGCGCCAGACCUGGGAUGAGGGGUAAAAACAUGCCAUCAAGUCCCUGUCUUCAAACCUACAUUUCAGUCAAGAAAACACAUGUGAAAACCUGGAGACUACUAAAACGUAUCAACAAGCACGCAUUAAUAUGACACGGAGUUAGCUAACAAGCUCAGGGAAAGAUCACAAACAAUAUAUACAGCUACUUCACCCUCUCCCGCUAAAAUUACACUGAAGAGACAUUUUUAAAAAAAUUGAAAACAAAACACAGCUCAGGAAGAACUGACAGUGGAAAAAGAAAAUUCUGGAAACUUUGAGAAAAGCUUCUCACACGGAAGAUAAAGACGAAAACAAAUUUUUUAAAAAGAGAAAAAAGAAAAAAAACUUGGAGGAAACAGAAUCUAUGAAAGAUUGGAAGCAUAGUAAAUGACUCAGCAGGCCAAGAAAGCCAGGCCCUAAGCCAGCAGUGGGAAAACUAAGAC
rnacentral:lncRNA from 1 species